rnacentral:rRNA from 1 species
UUCCUACGGGAGGCAGCAGUGAGGAAUAUUGGUCAAUGGGCGGGAGCCUGAACCAGCCAAGCCGCGUGAAGGAAGAAGGCGCCAAGCGUCGUAAACUUCUUUUGUCGGGGAACAAAGGGCGCCACGUGUGGCGUUGUGAGUGUACCCGAAGAAAAAGCAUCGGCUAACUCCGUGCCAGCAGCCGCGGUAAUACGGAGGAUGCGAGCGUUAUCCGGAUUUAUUGGGUUUAAAGGGUGCGUAGGCGGUCCGGAAAGUCAGCGGUAAAAGCCCGGGGCUCAACCCCGGCGCGCCGUUGAAACUGUCGG